rnacentral:rRNA from 1 species
ACAGUGAACAUCGGAGUCUUUGAACGCAAGUUGCGCCCGAUGCCAUUAGGUUGAGGGCACGUCUGCCUGGGUGUCACAUAUCGAAGCCUCCUGCCAAUUUCCUUUUGACAGGUAUUGUGCGGGGUGAAUGUUGGCCUCCCGUGAGCUCUUUCGUCUCAUGGUUGGUUGAAAAUUGAGACCUUGGUAGGGUGUGCCAUGUUAGAUGGUGGUUGUGUGACCCACGAGACCAAUCAUGCGCUACUCUAUUGAAUUUGGCCUCUUUUACCCAUAUGCGUUUCUAAACGCUCGUGAUGAGACCUCAGGUCAGGCGGGGCUACCCGCUGAAUUUAAGCAUAUCAAUAAGCGGAGGAAAAGAAACUAACAAGGAUUCCCUUAGUAACGGCGAGCGAACCGGGAUAAGCCCACCAUGAGAAUCGGUCGCCCUCGGCGUUCGAAUUGUAGUCUGAAAAAAGCGUCAAAUGA